CGACUGAGAGAAAAUAAGCGAAAACAGAUUGACUUUUCAACAUUCAACAAACAAGCAACAUGUGACAGCAAGUUGAAGAUGUAUAGAAGCAUCACAACAAUGUACUCUUUGUCACUAUUGGACUCGGAUAAAUUCCGAACAUCUACUGCUACUUGUGAACUGAUCAAACCACGGAGGAUUGCAUCAAGGUGGUAGAUUCUCAAUGAUGGCCAAAAUGAACUGGUCUUAACACAAACCCAGAAGAAUCACAUAAUCAAGAAAGAUGCGCUGCUUGAGGAGAUUAACAUUGAUUCUACAAGGAGUUUCUGAAGAGUGAAUCAUCAUCAACCCAUGGUGCAAGAUUCUACGCCAAGCUGGAGGAGACCGACAUUGCAGCAAUGACUCUGUGAACAAUGUGGACUUGAAUUAAACCCAAACUCACUGUUGGCUUUGAGAUGCAGCUCUAAUGCAUCUCUUAGCAUUGAGACACUAUCAACCUAUGGUGCAAGAUUCUACGCCAAGCUGGAGGAGACCGACAUUGCAGCAAUGACUCUGUGAACAAUGUGGACUUGAAUUAAACCCAAACUCACUGUUGGCUUUGAGAUGCAGCUCUAAUGCAUCUCUUAGCAUUGAGACACUAUCAACCCAUGGUGCAAGAUUCUACGCCAAGCUGGAGGAGACCGACAUUGCAGCAAUGACUCUGUGAACAAUGUGGACUUGAAUUAAACCCAAACUCACUGUUGGCUUUGAGAUGCAGCUCUAAUGCAUCUCUUAGCAUUGAGACACUAUCAACCCAUGGUGCAAGAUUCUACGCCAAGCUGGAGGAGACCGACAAUGCAGCAAUGACUCUGUGAACAAUGUGGACUUGAAUUAAACCCAAGCUCACUGUUGACUUUGAGAUGCAGCUCUAAUGCAUCUCUUAGCAUUGAGACACUAUCAACCCAUGGUGCAAGAUUCUACGCCAAGCUGGAGGAGACCGACAAUGCAGCAAUGACUCUGUGAACAAUGUGGACUUGAAUUAAACCCAAGCUCACUGUUGACUUUGAGAUGCAGCUUUAAUGCUACAUCUCUGAACAGUGAAACACUAUCAACCCAUGGUGCAAUAUUCUACGCCAAGCUGGAGGAGACCGACAAUGCAGCAAUGACUCUGUGAACAUUUUGGACUUGAACUAAACCCAAACUCACUGUUUGCUUUGAGAUGCAGCUCUAAGGCUACAUCUCAAAGCCUGGAUUGGAGACAGAAUUCCUAAACACUCUUUGAACUCUUGAGAUACAAAUGAGAUGAGAAAGAUACAUCAGUGUGGCAAGGCUGGAGGACAUUAUUUUAUGAGCCCACUUUGAAACCUUAAUGUGAUCAACAUACAAGGACUAGAGCGUUUGUAUAGUAUCUAGAAACAAAAGAAGAAAUGUCUAUAUUCAAAUAUAACAAUCCCUAGAGUAGCCUGGAGAACACCUUCAGUAUUCGCUUUUUUAAUUAUCGUCACCGUUUUCAUGAACAGACAAAUUUGAUAACUUACAGAUUUUGAUGAUUUUGGUCAGACACCAACAUUUUCCGCUAGCUUUUUAAGUCAUAAAAUUUCAAAUUUUUGUACACAAGAAGCACAGAGAUAAAAUCACCAGAAAUAGUUUUGAGUCUGUUUUACGAAUGUGCAAUUUUUAUAUGUACAUGUGUACAUGUGUACAUGCUUAUAUUGCUCGUGCCAUGCCAAAAAAUGAGUGCCUGAAUUUUUCAAAAAGAAAUAGUAUGUGUAAUCUUUGUGACAAGUUAACAGUUUUCUAAAACAGCCUUGUUUGUUCAGCUUCUUGAAGAGACAAUCUUGUCUAUGAUGAAAUCAUCCUACAAAAAAAUUAAAAUCUCCACUUUCAUGUUUAGUCAAAGUACCAAAGGAAAAUUGACUAACAGUCUUCCAAACCAAUAGUUGUUAAAAACUUUUAAUUUCAGUUUGCUUCUUUUAUUAUGAAAGUUUCGGUGCAGGGGCUAAAAUGUCGCUUUGUGAAAACGGUGACCGUUAUCUUUAAGUAAAACUGUAGCAUUCAGGUAUAGUCAUCUGUUCAUGCAUGAACCAAUACAGGAUUAGUGUAGUACAAGGGAUUGAACAAGGAGACAUGGUAUUACUAUUAAUUUUUAAACUUUUAUUCCUAUAAACAAUUAGUGUGCUUAAAGAAAACUAUUCUGUAAUAGAUAGCAUUGCCCUUAAACCCAACAGGGGCACUAAAUGUAAAAAGUGUAGGACUACAACCGAAUAGUAAUACCAAAUAGGUUGUCAAUAGUUUGUCCUUAGACCACCAAGAGUGCUAAAUGAGAUAGGACCAUUUCUAAAUAGGUUGUCAACAGCUUAUCACAAAAACCAUCUAUAGCACUGAAUGAUAUAGUAAAAAGUAUAUAUUUGCUGACCAGGUUAGCAACAGUUUCUCCAUAAAUUGAAUGGGACUAAAACAAAAGGUGCAUCUGAAUAUAUUUCAACCUUAAACCACCAAAAGUGCUAAAGGUGAUUGGACUAAAUCAAACAGUAUUUCUUGGCGGCACUACAGUCGGCUAGUUUACUAAACAGGUGAGAUUAGGGAAAAUGCUUUCUGUAUAAGUACAUGUACUUUAUCAACUCUCCCUAACAUUAAGUGUACACCAUGUAUAUUUUUUUGGCAAACAAUAAGUGAUACUAAGUCAUUGUUAAUUCACAUUUAAAGUUUUCAAGUUGUCUAAUAAUUAUGACUAUUAAUUAACAGUCAUGACAGGAACAUAAGCAGAAACUGUACGAUAACUCAACCCUGGUUCUUCAAAUCACAGCCAACACUUCUCAUGAAAGAGAUUGAAUUCAUUUGGUUCAUAUUCAUCAUUUUUAUUAAACUUCUUCAUGUUCAGUGUACCAUGCAAAGACUUAAAACUUACUUAAUGGGGCAGACAGUUCAAGUUCAAAAGUAUUUCAAGUUUAGUGUAGUGUUUCACAGGACUUCAACCAAUGUUAGUAUUCAUAACUUGAAAGACAUACAAUAUGACAGCACAGAAGUUACUUUUCAAUAAUGUUGUAGGAUUUGACCUAAAAGCUAAAGUGUAUCUCAGUUAAUUUAGCACAGAGGAAUUCAUGCAUGAACAGAGAAGUAAUAGUAUUUUUUGUUUUAAGUAAUGCAAUGAACAGCCUCUCACAGAAACCCAAACUUUUAGAAAUUAAGUUACUGAAACAAAGGCAAUGUCGAGCAAAAAUUUGACUACCAAAUAAAACAAAUUAUUAUGAUGACACUUUGGUACAGUGUGUGGUAACGAGAGUAUUUGAAUACUCUGUCCAAAACUAACAAGCGAUCAGUCGAUUGGAUUCAGCUUUUUAAUUUAGCAUUGUUGUGUAUAAACAAAUGGUUUUUUUCGUAACUCAUUCAAACUUCAUGAGAAAUCCCCCAAGUUACAAGCUUUCUGUGAGGGGCUGGUCUGUCUUAAACAUUGUAAGCUAAUUUAAUUAGUAAGUUAGAGUGUGGAGGGUGAGUCUAUAAGUUCUGUUGGUAAGAUGGCUACAAGAUUGGUUAUAACUAUACUUCUGAACUCAAAACCGUCGGACUCAAAAAGUCAAAACAUUUGAUGGUACAACACAUUGGCUGGCACAGCUGAUGAAAUUGUUGUCCCUGCUACUGUUUUUUUUUUUCACUUCUUUAUUUUUACAAAGACUCUCAAAGAGACCUUGCAAAAGACAAAAACAAACGUUUCACUUUGAUUUUUCUUUUCCAGCAGCAUGGACGAAUUGUCUUCAAAAGCUGACGUCUUAAUUCUGGAUCUUCCUUUAAAUUUUUGAAAUCAGUAACAAUGUGUUGAUUUCACCUUAACAAAUUUUCAGUCAAAGAUAUUAUGUUGCUAGUCGAAAUUUUGCAGUUUUUAUAUUAUACCAAAAGUAUACCAUAUGCAAGCCAUCCUGUACAGGAAAAGAUUCCACCAAUUUUACACUUAACUGGUGUGCUUGUUAUGCAUUGAUGUGUAUGGGGGCCAAGUGGCUCUCUAAACUAAGCUUACGAGACAAAAUCUCAGUUUAAAAAACUUGCGUUGCAGUUCAUUCACAUGUACUUUUAAAAAUUGAAACUCAUUAUGAAGUGCUGUAUAUUAGCCAAUCUUGUACACCAAAAUCUGAAAUUUUAGCAGCAUUGACAAAUUGUCUCCAAAAGCUGAAAUCUGAAUUCUGGAUCUUCCUUUUACAUUUCAAAGUCAAAAAUUACAAAUUAUUUAUUUUGCCCAUCUUUUCAAUGUACAAUCCUGUUACUAAUGAAAAGUUAUUUUGUAAUUACCAACAGCUCAUGAAUGUACCCCUCCCCUUUUUGCACCCCGGUGCAUGCAAGCCAUCCUGGUGCUUGCGCGAGUGUUCCCCGCCCGCAGGUGUCGGCAGGCUGGUUGGUGAGUUGUCCUCUGAAUGCACUUGAAGGUGUUUGGCUGUUUGUGAUGUGUCAACCUUCCCAAUACUUGGCGGUCUGGAUGAAUCAGAGACCCACAGUUGACUGCAACAUGGUAAGGAUCCUUUGAUCUAUGAUAAUUAAUUUUCUUUCCACAGAGGAUGAUGUAUCCAUCUUCAACUCCAGGCAUUGUAUAUGGAAGAAAUGCCUUCAAGUCUACUCUGAACUCUACAUUUCAUGAUUUGCACCAUGGUAUUUUGAUCCAUUAGAAUGGAAUAUCUACAAAUGUACAAUUUUGCCAAGUAUUUCUGAGAUGUUUGCCAUACAUAGGGUUUUUGGUCACGAUGUCUAAACCAACCAAUCAUUAAUUUGUUGAACGAGCACUAUCUAAACCACUCUCUGCCUUGCGUUAAACCAAAUCAAGUUUGUAUAAAAAAAAUAUUUUUGGAAACAAAUAAUAAAUUCUAUUCUAAGUCAAUCAAUUAAGAAAAAACAAAUUCAUCAGCACAAACAAUGAAUAACGGCUUUUCCAAUCAAUGAAGUAAAAUUAACCAACAGAUAAAAACCUUUACAACAGUAUGUUAAAUUCUCAAAGAUAAUCUGAAAAUCCACAGAAUAAAAACCAACCUAAUGACAAAAUACAAAAAAUGGAAGUAAUAAACAAACAAGAUGCAAAGAAAUGUUAAAUAAGAUUUGAAAAGGUUGCCAUUUCACCAAUAGCACAAAGAAAAUGCUACUACUUAUAAAAAUUUACGUUCACUCUCAAAAUGUACAAUCUGCCAAAUUGCAGUUUGUUAGAAAUAAAAAUCUUUGAGACAAAACCAUACUCACUAAAAAUGAGUAACAUCUGAACUGAUGUUUUUGCAACAUUUGUCCAAAUUGUCUCUUACUGAAAAGACAAAUCUAGGUUCUGUGAAAAAAAUUGUCCAAAUGAUGUAAAAAAGAAUCUUAAAAUACAGCUGGAUACUUCACAGUAUCUUGAUAUGAAGCAAACCAUUUUCUUACAACAGAAAAAAAAGUGUUGAUACAAGUUGUUUGAAAAAUGCAAAAAUCAAAACAGAACUGCACUAAAGGUAGUUUUAAAAUCUAUUUCAUUAUAAAAGCAGGCCAAAAAAAAAAACAUCAAAGAUGGAGAACUUAAAAUGAGUUUGAUUCUACCCUGCAUGUCAAUGCACUGCUUACAAAUAAACAAACUUUCCUAUUAAAGUGGCUUGCCUUGGAUAACAAUCCAUUUGCAUAGUAAACAUUUUUAACUUGUAACUCCAAAAAGUAUUGGGCAGAAACAAAAACAAAUUUAAAAAGUAUUUUUAACUUAAAAAUACUGAACUUGUACUUGCCAAAAUUUGAGAUUUUUGUCCCAGAUCGACAUGAAUAAUCAUGGUAGUUCCCGGCCAAACUGUAAAAUCAUGGUAGUUCCUGGCCAAACCAUUAAAUUCAUGGUAGUUCUUGGCCAAACUGUGGAACAGAUCCCAACACUGGGAAAACAUGGGGUGCCAAACUCUUUAAACUGCUCUAAAAAUGAAAGCCUGGGGUGCAAACGGAAAAGCACCAUACUGUAAAUUAGGGCUGUACAUGGGCAAUGUGGUGGGUCCCUCAGUUUCGACGGUAAAACUGUGGUGUCGACACAGGGGUCCCAGUCCUGUUAGAUAGGUCCAUGGUAACUUUAAUUGAAGUAGGAAUUCAUGUACUGUAACUAUACAUCCUCAGCCAUGCACUGAUAGUCUUCAAUCAAAGGCAAUACCAAGCAUGUUAGGGUUGAAUAUCAAUCAAGGCAUUGACCAAGGUCUUAGGGUUUGAAAUGGAGACAGGUUGUCUUCAGACCUGUGUGUUUCCAUAGAAAUGAGAAACACUACUCUGUGCCUGCAAUGAUCUAAAAUUGAUCCAGUUUUAAAUGGUCUCUACUUUGAAUAUGGAAGUUUUCCCCAAAAAGAAAUAUGGCACUUGCUGUAAAAAUCCCUGAACUCAGUCAUUGCAGUGACCAAUCAACCAACCAAGAUGGCCACAGGUCAUGUGGCAUAUCUUUUAGGCCAACCAUUUGCUGAUGAUUCAUGAAAUGACAUUCCUGAAAUAUCCCUGAUGGGUACAGUGAAGCUAUCAUCAGGUAUCUCAGCCCCUCCUAAUGCCCACAACAGUGGGUUACAAGAAUAAUCACCAAUGUAAUAAUGCAGGCACAGUCCAUCUAGAUACCCUUACUGGGUUAAGAUACAUUGCAGUUGCAGAUUAAGUCAUACAGACACUGCCCUCAAUGAUACCCAUAUCCUGGGUGGAGAGGGGCUUCAAGAUACUGUCAGAUCUAACAAGAGAAAUUGGACAUAAACUUCAUCAAAUGAAGCAAUGCAUCACGAGGCAUUUAUGCCCAAAGUAUUAAACACAAGUAAACCUGCACAUGAAUGUACACAUGAAGACACUUUGACGCCUUGAAAGUGGAACAGAAACACCUCAUGGAGAGGUUUCUUUAUUUGAAUGGUCAAUGCCUUGAUUGAAUUUUACUAAUUCUAGGAAACCAGAAACUUUUAACCCAGGCUUGGGGUAUUCAGAUGAUUCAUGUUUAAGUAUUAGUAUUUACGUCAGAACCAAAAAUAGUGGUGAGCUAUUCAUCACUGUUGUCAAUCGACCAGUGAAGGGUUUGAAGAAACCUUAAGGAAAAUUUUUUUUGCAACUCAAACAAUGAGUAGGAAAUUUAAAACCCUUGGUAUGACACUAAAAAAUAUCCACUAAUUAUGUAAUUGACAAAAGCAAUUUAUGUAGUCAAUCAUACAAUCGGUUUAGAAACAGUGUUUAUUACCAAACUUGUUGGUAAUAUUUAACUUUCUUACAUUACCCCAAGCCUGGUUGACCUCAACUUAAAAGUAGGGCUGUACAUUGUACAAUUAUAGUCUUGACAGUUCUUCACAAUUGAAUGAGAAUUAGUUGACCUUCCCAUUUGUGCUUAAUAAGGUAAAUUAAUGCAGUUAUCUUUAGCUAAAGUUUAGAUACCUUGAGUAUGAAGAGAAAUAUGUGGAGUCACAAAUCUACCUGCCCUCAUCAUGAUGUGAUGCUCUAGGUAACUCACUGAGCCGGUGAACACUUCUCUAAAUUGUCUCUGUGGCAACUACAUGUAAGUUAUUGCCUUCCAGUUGACACUUACAAUGUAGAAGCAAUUGGUAAUGUGAUGUCCUGCAUAACUAAAAACCCAGGAUAAGCUGAUCAUCACAACCCGUCUAUGGGAAAUCAAAUCCCUACAUUUUAUGAUAUGAAUCAAUAUCAGACAGCAUUUUGAUCAUUAGUUAGAUCACAAUUAAUGCCAGUAAAGCACAGCAAGCUUGACUUUGAAUUUGUGGCCCUUGUAGAUAUUGUGAAGAACUUUCAGGACAUGUUCUUACUCAACCUUGCUUGGUAUUGCCAAACCUCGUUCCCAACAACUAGUCCAAAAUGAACAAGUUGUUAUUUGUUUGUUCCUUUAAGGAAACUUGGUAAUCUCUUAGACACAAAUGAAGGGUUCACCCAUAAUGAAGUACCUCACACACUCACUAUUUUUAGUUCCCAUUUUUUCCUUCAUUCACCUACAACUUACCCCCCCCCCCUCCAUUUUGCAAACGAAUGUAUAGUGUGACAAAGUUGUCCUCACUGUUCGGUGUCAGGCGAACUGAUAUACAUGUACAACAAACAUCCACCGAUAGCCCCUAAUGGGCAAAGUGAUAUACAGACGGUGGUUAAAACCAGCUCCUAUUAAUCCACACACUACACGUACAUCCACCACUAGACCCAAUUAGGGGCAACAUACAUAUAGCCCCUGUUUGGGCAACCUACAGCCUACAGUUAGCCCCGUUUUGGGCAAUCGAUAACUUACAAGUCUGUGUCGGGCAACCAACUACCUACAAAUAGCCCCUGUGGACCAGCCUACAACUAGCCCUGGCAUGAUGUUAAAACAAAGCUAAAACUAGCCCCUAUUGGGCAGUCAACAACCUGCAACCAGCCCCUUUGGUAAACCCUAAUGCCUACAACUAGUAUAGCACCUAUUGGAAAACCAACAACUUACAAAUAGCACUGUCAGGCACCCAACAAUGCCUACUACUAGCCCCCGAUUGGACAACCAAUGACCUACAACUACAGGUAGCCCCUAUUGGACAAUCAUGAACCUAUACAACUAACCCCUGUUGGGCAACGAACAAUGCCACUUUCCCCUGUUGGGCAACCAACAAUACCUCACUUGCCCCAGUCGGGCAACCAGUAACCUACAACUAGCCCCAGUUGGGAAAAGUGUUCAAUAGACAGUCGUUGACCCCCCUUUUUUUUCACCAACUAUACACCAACUACCAGUUAUUCAGUUAUCCCCCAAAAAUGUACCCUUAUAUGGGUAAAGUGAUUGAUCAGCAAAAGCAAUCACUACUAUCAAUAUUGUUGACCACUCAAAUAGUUCCAUGUUAUAGUGAGAUACAGUGGGAUGGUAGGAUUACCAUGGGAACGAGGUAAUUAACAUUGACCUGUCGCCAUUCUCAACUCAGCCAUAUCUAGGACAAACAAGUGAUAGCAAUAAUUUAAAACAAGAACUGCAUGUACA